rnacentral:lncRNA from 1 species
GUCAACUGUUUAAUCUAAUUUGAUCGAUAACUUAAUUCUCAAUCAAGUUAAUUUAUUCAUUCAAUCAAGUCAUGUACUUUCAAAUUGAAUAUAUAGACUUAAGUCAAUUCUUUCCUAUGUCGCUUGACUUUGUGCGUGACUCCAUAGGUUCGAACAUUAAGUCGGUAAUAUAAGAAUCAUUUUCUGUACUAAUCGAAGUUACUAUCUAGCAAUGAUUUCUGACAUUCGGAUAGAUCGAAUAAAUGUAAGGUAAUAUUCAAAAAUUUAUGCAUAUGGUUACCGCAUAAUUUAUCCCUUUGGCCCUGAAUGCUUUAGGAUGGUCAAGGGUUAAACUGUCAAUCCUGAAGGAUCAUCCAUAUUGUAUUCCAACCUUUUAAAUUCAUCACAUGAAUUAUUCUGAUUAAGAUUUUACUAAAUUGAAAUAAAGUGAUGCAUCAGCUCUUAUAAUUUGGAGAUAUCAAUUCUAUCUUGAUCCACACACAAACUUUGCAAGUACUUGACUGUACCAAUAGUCUUCCGUCAUUGCAUUAGAAAUGUAGAUAAUCCGAUAUCAAAACACAGUAAAUUACUUACAAGUUACUAUGGCGAUC